rnacentral:rRNA from 1 species
AUUGAACGCUGGCGGCAGGCCUAACACAUGCAAGUCGAGCGAGCGGCGGACGGGUGAGUAAUGUCUGGGAAACUGCCUGAUGUAGGGGGAUAACUACUGGAAACGGUAGCUAAUACCGCAUACCAUCUGAUGUGCCCAGAUUGGAUUAGCUAGUAGGUGGGGUAACGGCUCACCUAGGCGACGAUCCCUAGCUGGUCUGAGAGGAUGACCAGCCACACGGGAACGUAGACACGGUCCAGACUCCGUCGGGAGGCAGCAGUGGGGAAUAGUGGACAAUGGGGGCAAGCCUGAUGCAGCCAUGCCGGGUGUGUGAAGAAGGCCUUCGGGUUGUAAAGCACGUUCAGCGGGGAGGCGUUACCCGCAGAAGAAGCACCGGCUAACUCCGUGCCAGCAGCCGCGGUAAUAC